GCCUCGGUAGCUCAAUUGGAAGAGCAAGUGUUUUGUAAACACUAGGUUGAGAGUUCGAAUCUCUCCUGAGGCUCCA
rnacentral:tRNA from 1 species